rnacentral:rRNA from 1 species
UACGGAGGGUGCAAGCGUUAUCCGGAAUUACUGGGUUUAAAGGGUGCGUAGGCGGCCAAAUAAGUCAGAUGUGAAAGCUUACAGCUUAACUGUAAAAUUGCAUUUGAUACUGUAUGGCUUGAAUUAGGUUGAGGUUAGCGGAAUGUGUCAUGUAGCGGUGAAAUGCAUAGAUAUGACAUAGAACACCAAUUGCGAAGGCAGCUAACUAGGCCUAUAUUGACGCUGAGGCACGAAAGCGUGGGGAGCGAACAGG